UACAGAGGAUGCAAGCGUUAUCCGGAAUGAUUGGGCGUAAAGCGUCUGUAGGUGGCUUUUUAAGUCCGCCGUCAAAUCCCAGGGCUCAACUCUGGACAGGCGGUGGAAACUACCAAGCUGGAGUACGGUAGGGGCAGAGGGAAUUUCCGGUGUAGCGGUGAAAUGCGUAGAGAUCGGAAGGAACGCCAGUGGUGAAGACGACUACCUGGACCAAUACUGACACUGAGGCGCGAAAGCGUGGGGAUCAAACAGG
rnacentral:rRNA from 1 species